AAACCAGCACCUCAAGUGGUCAGGAGGAUUAUUGGGCCUAAAGCAUCCGUAGCCUGUUCUAUAAGUUUCCGGUUAAAUCCACUAGCUCAACUAGUGGGCUGCCGAAAAUACUGUAUAACUAGGGAGUGGGAGAGGUAGACGGUAUUCGGUAGGAAGGGGUAAAAUCCUUUGAUCUAUUGAGGACCACCUGUGGCGAAGGCGGUCUACCAGAACACGUUCGACGGUGAGGGAUGAAAGCUGGGGGAGCAAACCGGAUUAGAAACCCUAGUAGUCC
rnacentral:rRNA from 1 species